AAGUCGUAACAAGGUUUCCGUAGGUGAACCUGCGGAAGGAUCAUUAUUGAAUAAAUCUGGCGCUGGGUUGUAGCUGGCUCUCCGGAGCAUGUGCACACCUUCGUCACCUUUAUCUUUCCACCUGUGCACCCACUGUAGUCCUGGAUCCCUCUCGCCGAAAGGCGGAUGCAGAGCCUGCUGUGACUUUGGCAACAAAGGCCGGCUUGCUCUGAAUUUCCAGGUCUAUGAUCUUUACACACCCCUAAACGAAUGUCAUAGAAUGUAUAUCACUGGGCCUUUGUGCCUAUAAACCUUAUACAACUUUCAACAACGGAUCUCUUGGCUCUC
rnacentral:misc_RNA from 1 species